GCCUCGGGGAGCUGUGAACAAGCGCCGAUCCGGGGAUGUCCGAAUGGGGAAACCCACUGGAGCGAACCUCCAGUAUCGUAUGAUGAAUCAAUAGUUAUACGAGGGGAACCUGGGGAACUGAAACAUCUAAGUACCCAGAGGAAAAGAAACAAUUCCCAAAGUAGUGGCGAGCGAAAUGGGAAAAGCCCAAACCAGUGCAGCGAGCUGUAUUGGGGUUGUAGGGCCAGCAAUAUGGAGUUACAAAACUUGAAGUUAGUGGAAUGGUGUGGGAAAGCCAGCCAGAGAGGGUGAGAGCCCCGUACGCGAAAACUGAGAGACUCCAGCUGGUACCCUGAGUACUGCCGGGCACGCUAAUCCGGCAGGAAGCUGGGGAGUCCACUCUCCAAGGCUAAAUACAUUUGGCGACCGAUAGUGAACAAGUACCGUG
rnacentral:ncRNA from 1 species